rnacentral:rRNA from 1 species
GAUGAACGCUAGCGGGAGGCUUAAUACAUGCAAGUCGCGGGGUAACAUUAGAGCUUGCUCUAGAUGACGACCGGCGCACGGGUGAGUAACGCGUACACGACCUACCUCUGAUUGGGGGAUAGCCCUGGGAAACUGGGAUUAAUACCCCAUGGUAUUGAUUAAUCUAAAAUUUAUCAAUUAAAGCUUUCGAGUGAUCAGAGAUGGGUGUGCGUUCCAUUAGCUAGUUGGUAAGGUAACGGCUUACCAAGGCGACGAUGGAUAGGGGGCGUGAGAGCGUGAUCCCCCACACGGGUACUGAGACACGGACCCGACUCCUACGGGAGGCAGCAGUAAGGAAUAUUGGACAAUGGGGGCAACCCUGAUCCAGCCAUCCCGCGUGCAGGAUGACGGCCCUAUGGGUUGUAAACUGCUUUUAUAUAGGAAGAAUGGCCUUGAUUUAUUAGGGUAUGACGGUACUAUAUGAAUAAGCACCGGCUAACUCCG